GCGCGAGCAAGAGAAGGGGUGCGGUGAAAAAAAAAUCCUCCGACCCAUCGUAAGUGUCUUUGAUCCCUGCUAAGAGUAUUUUCAAGGUAAAAUUAGUACCAUCCAUGAAUAAAAAUGGGAAAAAUAUUAGAAUUAGUACUCAAUUUGCCCCCUUCAAUGUCAAACUUUUUAAAUUUGCCCCUCUAUACUCACAUCCUGGAUCCGUCCCUGCUUAGAUUUAGUAGUCUUUUUUUAGAGCAGCAGAAGCAAAUUAGUCAACUUGGCUUUUACUGCUGCGGACCUUUCGUUUUUUUUUUAGCGAAUGCUGCGACCUUUCGUGUGAGCGACUGAGCGUUUGCGGAAGGCGGCCGCAGUUUCUGGAUCGUGGGCGAGCUCACGCCCUGGAGAUCGAUGGAGAGGAGGGCAAAGCCCAGGGGAAAAUCUCUCCUGGGCCAGGUAUAGGCCGGUCCACUAAAUGGGCCAAGGGAGAGAGGGUGGCCCAAGAGAGAAAAAAGAGAUGGUGAGGGAGAGGGGGGCUACGGCCAAGGGAGAGAGGGGCUACGGCCGAGAGGUGUAAGACAGACACGAAGAGAGGCGGGCCAGGCCGGCAGGAGAAGAUAAACUAGGCUUCGGCCCAGAGAACUGGCAAAACGACCUUUUCUUUUAAUCCUUUGUAAACUCUGAAGUUUCAUAAAAUCCAAAAAUAAAAUGCAGAUCAAGGAAUGAUAUACAUCUAGAUCCAAUUGAAUUUCUGCUGCUGUGCGUUUGGCUGCGAUAUGCUGGGUCAUUUGGACAUGUCGUAACGCAGCUUGCUUUGAAUUCAAACUGAUCAAGGAUCCGGUGGAACUAAUUUGUCGUAAGAACUUACUGCUCCGUUAUGUUUUUUAAUGGAGUGCGGCCGCUUGUACGCAGGUGGAUGGAAUUUUUUUUUGAAUUUCUUCUAUAAAAGAAAUAUCACUAUUCCUUGGUGGUAAUGUGUAGGAAGAAGGGUGACAAUCUUUUCUUUCUUCAGGAUAGAUAAAUUUCGUCUUUAUAGUUCAUUUCAUAUCUAGCAUAACGUUCUUCGGCCAGAGUUAAAAUUCAAGGGUGUAUAUCUAAUAUGAUGAUUACAAAUAAAAUAAU
rnacentral:lncRNA from 1 species